UACAGAGGGUGCAAGCGUUAAUCGGAAUUACUGGGCGUAAAGCGUAUGUAGGUGGUUUUUUAAGUCAGGUGUGAAAUCCCCGGGCUCAACCCGGGAACUGCGUCCGAUACUGGCAGGCUUGAAUCCGGGAGAGGGAUGCGGAAUUCCAGGUGUAGCGGUGAAAUGCGUAGAUAUCUGGAGGAACACCGGUGGCGAAGGCGGCAUCCUGGACCGGCAUUGACGCUGAGGCGCGAAAGCCAGGGGAGCAAACGGG
rnacentral:rRNA from 1 species